GAUGGGACAUCCGGGUUAGAGCUCGUGCUUGCUGCUGUGCGAAGACGAACAGGUCUGGGAAAUGCAGAGUUUCCACGUAAAAAUGUUCGCACUGGAGCUGCGUGUGUUUGUAGAAUUAUCAGCAGCGAAUUUACCAUGAACAGACAUCCAAUGGAUUUGGAAAGAUCAUGAAGGUGAUGCUUCACCCGCUUGGGAUCAGGCAAUAAAAGAUGGAUUGAUAGUAAACCAGAACUACAAGAUUUACAGAUCCUGAAGAUAAUAAAAAAAGUUUGUUGGUGCAGACGGAGUUCCACUUGGAUUAAAGACACCCACCUUACUUUAAACAUGUUUUAUUAGGACUAAAAAAAUAGUUUGUAACAAGAAAAACUUAUAAAAAAA